CGUGCGGCAGCUAUACAUGCAAGUCGAGCGGACAGAAGGGAGCUUGCUCCCGGAUGUUAGCGGCGGACGGGUGAGUAACACGUGGGUAACCUGCCUGUAAGACUGGGAUAACUCCGGGAAACCGGAGCUAAUACCGGAUAGUUCCUUGAACCGCAUGGUUCAAGGAUGAAAGACGGUUUCGGCUGUCACUUACAGAUGGACCCGCGGCGCAUUAGCUAGUUGGUGAGGUAACGGCUCACCAAGGCGACGAUGCGUAGCCGACCUGAGAGGGUGAUCGGCCACACUGGGACUGAGACACGGCCCAGACUCCUACGGGAGGCAGCAGUAGGGAAUCUUCCGCAAUGGACGAAAGUCUGACGGAGCAACGCCGCGUGAGUGAUGAAGGUUUUCGGAUCGUAAAGCUCUGUUGUUAGGGAAGAACAAGUGCAAGAGUAACUGCUUGCACCUUGACGGUACCUAACCAGAAAGCCACGGCUAACUACGUGCCAGCAGCCGCGGUAAUACGUAGGUGGCAAGCGUUGUCCGGAAUUAUUGGGCGUAAAGGGCUCGCAGGCGGUUUCUUAAGUCUGAUGUGAAAGCCCCCGGCUCAACCGGGGAGGGUCAUUGGAAACUGGGAAACUUGAGUGCAGAAGAGGAGAGUGGAAUUCCACGUGUAGCGGUGAAAUGCGUAGAGAUGUGGAGGAACACCAGUGGCGAAGGCGACUCUCUGGUCUGUAACUGACGCUGAGGAGCGAAAGCGUGGGGAGCGAACAGGAUUAGAUACCCUGGUAGUCCACGCCGUAAACGAUGAGUGCUAAGUGUUAGGGGGUUUCCGCCCCUUAGUGCUGCAGCUAACGCAUUAAGCACUCCGCCUGGGGAGUACGGUCGCAAGACUGAAACUCAAAGGAAUUGACGGGGGCCCGCACAAGCGGUGGAGCAUGUGGUUUAAUUCGAAGCAACGCGAAGAACCUUACCAGGUCUUGACAUCCUCUGACAACCCUAGAGAUAGGGCUUUCCCUUCGGGGACAGAGUGACAGGUGGUGCAUGGAUUGUCGUCAGCUCGUGUCGUGAGAUGUUGGGUUAAGUCCCCGCAACGAGCGCAACCCCUUGAUCUUAGUUGCCAGCAUUUCAGGUGGUCACUCUAACGUGACUGCCCGUGACAACUCGAGAAGGUGGGGAAUGAACGUUCCAAACUC
rnacentral:rRNA from 1 species